AUGCUUGCUUUUGUUUGCCUGCAGCAAUCGAGGUGGCACCUAUAAUGUCAAACCAGUACCGGAGCACGGCGAGGCUUCUCACGUGUCUACAUAUACGACCGCGACCGGAAUGAACGGCCUUCCAGUUCCGGCGUCCAGUGAUGGCGCCUACAAUUCCGACCCCAGUACAAGCCACGAAGGCAUCGAGGAAACCAUGCAGGGAUGUGACGCGAGCGGUGCCACUGGCUCAACGAAAUGGAAGCAGCGCAAGGACGGUGUCCGUGGCGAAGUCAACCGCGGCAAGAAACCACCACGCGAACGACGCCACACAUGCGAGAUAUGCAACAAAUCAUUUCAAUGUGACAGUCAUCUCGUGAGACAUCGCCGUAUUCAUACGGGUGAAAAGCCCUAUCGUUGCGACAUAUGUGCUAAAUUAUUUACGCAGCAGAGUGCUCUCGCGGGACAUCUCCGCACUCAUUCAAGCGAGAAAAGAUACACAUGCGA